GAUGAACGCUAGCGGCAGGCCUAAUACAUGCAAGUCGAGGGAGAAUGUUGGAUUCGUCUGACAUGAAACCGGCGCACGGGUGCGUAACACGUAUGCAACCUACCUUUAACUGGGGUAUAGCUCAGAGAAAUCUGAAUUAAUCCCCCAUAAGACUACGACAUGGCAUCAUGAUGUAGUUAAAGCUCCGGCGGUUAAGGAUGGGCAUGCGGUACAUUAGCUAGUUGGUGAGGUAAUGGCUCACCAAGGCUACGAUGUAUAGGGGGUCUGAGAGGGGGAUCCCCCACACUGGUACUGAGGCACGGACCAGACUCCUACGGGAGGCAGCAGUAGGGAAUAUUGGUCAAUGGACGCAAGUCUGAACCAGCCAUGCCGCGUGAAGGAUGAAGGCCCUAUGGGUCGUAAACUUCUUUUAUUAGGGAAGAAAAAACGGGAUGCGUCCUGUACUGACGGUACUUAAUGAAUAAGGAUCGGCUAACUUCGUGCCAGCCGCCGCGGUAA
rnacentral:rRNA from 1 species